GUCGACAGCAAAGAUAACAGUGUUGUCUGUGUGGUUGUGGUGACGGGACUUACCUACGGAAGCGUGUGGGCAACACUAUGGGGCUUCUGUCAGAGGGCACGCCGCUCUCUUGGCCGCAGACCAAGCAGUACUCAGACCACGUGCGGGAACAUGGCAUUAAGCAGUUCAUCAACCAGUACCACCAGCUCAAGGGCCGCCAGGGAGACUGUCUCAAGUGGGGUGAUGAGAUAGAGUACAUGAUUAUCAAGUUGGACCACAAGAACAGGAAGGCACGACUUAGCUUACGAGGCUCUGAGCUCCUCGAGGUGUUGAGGGAGGCUGAGGAAACCAACCCUAAGGAGGUGCGGUCACUAUGGCGACCAGAGUAUGCCGAGUACAUGGUGGAAGGGACCCCUGGCCAGCCCUAUGGCUCCCUUGUCCAGCACUUCAACAUCGUGGAGCACAACAUGAGCUUCCGCCGUAGUGAAGUGCAGAGUUUGUUGUUGCCAGAUGAGGUGGUACUCUCCCUCACAAAUUUUCCCAGGUUGGGCUGUCCAGAUUUUACGUACCCACCAUCCCGUCCUGACCCCAACUCUGGAGCUAGUCGGUCCCUGUUCUUCCCAGAGGAAGCCAUCACACAGAGUCACCCAAGAUUUAAGACACUCACACGCAACAUCCGUGAGAGACGUGGAGAAAAAGUAGCCAUCAAUGUCCCUAUAUAUGUAGACCUUAAAACACCUAGACCAUUUGUAGAAGAUUUGUCUCAAUAUGGCGAUGAUGGCAGUUCUGCAGCUGCUGCGAAGGAGGACCAAGUGUAUAUGGAUGCGAUGGGUUUCGGUAUGGGAUGUUCGUGCUUGCAAAUGACCUUCCAAGCAUGCAAUGUGAAUGAGGCCCGGGUCCUCUACGAUCAUCUAACACCCCUCUGUCCUGUUAUGCUUGCGCUCACUGCUGCCUCGCCAAUUUAUCGUGGGUACCUGACAGACGUUGACUGUAGAUGGAAUGUGAUAGCCGCCUCAGUGGAUUGUCGUACCCGGGAAGAACGAGGUCUGGAGCCACUGAGAAACAACAGACUUGUUAUACCCAAAUCUCGCUAUGAUUCAGUGGACUGUUACCUCUCCGAAUGUGGUGCCAGGUAUAAUGAUAUUCCGCUGGUAUACGAUAAAGAUAUCCAGCAGAAGCUAGUAGGCAGCAAGGUUGAUGAGUACAUGGCUCAGCACAUCUCUCACCUCUUCAUCAGGGACUCCAUAUCCCUCUUCUCAGAGAGAAUUCAUCAGGAUGAUGCCAGGGAGAUGGAUCACUUUGAGAAUAUUCAGAGCACCAACUGGCAAACAAUGCGGUUCAAACUUCCACCAGUUAACAGUAACAUUGGCUGGAGAGUUGAGUUCCGACCCUGUGAAGUUCAGUUAACAGACUUUGAAAAUGCUGCCUUUGGAGUGUUUAUUGUGCUGCUCACUCGGGCACUGCUUACAUUUAAACUUAACAUGUUAAUUCCUAUCUCAAAGGUUGAUGAAAACAUGGCGAAUUGCCAGAAGCGAAAUGCUGUGCUGGAACAAAAGUUGUGGUUCAGGCAGGAAAUUUUCUCUCGUGACUGCGACAAGGGCGAUGAUGCUUGUCAGAUGACCGUCAGUGAAAUUAUCAAUGGAAAGGGAGAAGAGUUUGUGGGAUUAAUCCCUUUGGUGCGCCAGUAUCUAGGAGCACUGGACAUGGACGCUGACACAGCAUGCACCAUUGGUCAGUACUUAAACUUCAUUAGUGCCAGAGCAGCUGGUACUGCCAAGACCACAGCUGCCUGGAUGAGGAACUUUGUCACAUCACACCCAGAAUACAAUGUGGUGUCCUCGGAAACUCAGAAAACUUGAAGAGGAGAUAUGUUAAGUAUAUCUAAUUUUCCUGAAGAUUCCAUGACUUAGAUGUAACUGAAGCAAAAGUUUAUCCCAAACCAAAAAAGCAAGAUUCCGUUGUGAGUGAUGGUAUCGCCUAUGACUUAAUUAUUGCAUCCAGUGAAAUAACACAAGGCAAGCAAGAGUGUAAGGAGCUGCUGGGUGGAACACCCAAAACUAAAACUUCAGAGGAUAUACC
rnacentral:misc_RNA from 1 species